UGGGGAAUAUUGCACAAUGGGGGAAACCCUGAUGCAGCGACGCCGCGUGAGGGAGGAAGUAUUUCGGUAUGUAAACCUCUAUCAGCAGGGAAGAAACCAGACGGUACCUGACUAAGAAGCCCCGGCUAAAUACGUGCCAGCAGCCGCGGUAAUACGUAUGGGGCAAGCGUUAUCCGGAUUUACUGGGUGUAAAGGGUGCGCAGGUGGCAUGGCAAGUCAUAUGUGAAAGACUGGGGCUCAACCCUAGGAUUGCAUAAGAAACUGUCAAGCUAGAGUGCAGGAGAGGCAAGUGGAAUUCCUAGUGUAGCGGUGAAAUGCGUAGAUAUUAGGAGGAACACCGGUGGCGAAGGCGACUUGCUGGACUGUAACUGACACUGAGGCACGAAAGCGUGGGGAGCAAACA
rnacentral:rRNA from 2 species